rnacentral:lncRNA from 12 species
AUGAGUGUUGUCCCUUUAAAAAAGUCCUGUUGGAGGCUCCACAUUCACCCAGCUGUUGCUGCCAGAAACAGCCAUGCUCGUUCCUUGCCAGUGGAAAUGCUUCUUCUUUGGAGUGUAAAUUGGAAAUUUAAAAUGGAUGAAGAUGUGCAGCCCAAGGUCUGCAUUUCAACAUGUUUUGGAGUGUGCAGCAGGAGAGGAAAGGGAGCAAGAGGAAGAAGAGAUUUCCCCUGCAGGCUGGAAUCCAUUAUUGCUGAGUCAGCAGCUUGAUGCCCAAAGUGGGUCAUACCCAUCACAGUAAGGGACAUAAGCACCAGGACUGAGCGUGAAGACCUGGAAAGUGGUAAUACGAGACUCACUGCAGAGCAAAAGGGCUCUCCUCUGAGAUCCAGAGAGCAGGCUUGAGAGAGAUGGGAGGAAACAUUGCAACAUUACCAGGUAACGAAAAGGAUAAACAAGAGAUACUGUCACAAAUCCUGAAACCUGUGUUUGUUUUACUGGGUUGUUCCAGGUGUGUUGGGUGAUUCCAGGUGUUGGGUUUUUGCUAAUUAUUUCUAAGAUUUUGCCUGUAUCUGGCAAUUUGAGAGCUUCCAAGUUUAUAGGGGUAAAAAUCUUUAAAUACUUUAUAUCUUUCUGAACUCUACGUUUCUGCAGACUUUUAAAUUAAAUGUCUAAUAGUAUCAAAUGCUGCUUCUCUAUCAAAAAGCGUGGGGGAGCUAUGCUAACAUUUAUCACCCUCUGCACAGCCAAGCCCCUUUGUGUGUGCUGUGGUGUUUGAUUCACAAAUUCCUGCCUAGACCUCAAACCAGAUACAUAAUCCUCAACUUGCCCUCAUAGGCUAAAAAAAUUUUUGGCAGCUUCCUAGCUUCACCAAAGAUCUUAUUCAACCACCUGUUUCAGAUUUCACUUGCAAAUUUAGUGGGUAGAUUGCAUAGCUCCAUUCCAGAGUAAGAAGGUACCUAUCACAGGAUCUCCUCAUAAAAGAUGCUAAAUAUGCCUGUUAUAGUAUUAACAUAAUGCUGAUUAUUUUGUAAAAAUUCCGGCAAGUAAACAAUACAUUAGUUUCUUAAUUUGAGACUGGAGGUUUUAUGUUUUUUAUUAUUUUGUUUUGUUUUAUUUUAAAGAGUCUGUCAUUCUCACAGACCAGGCUCAAAAAACGCGUAUCAGCCUACAUGGCAGGCCAACCCGUUCAGUGCUAUCCAACCUCAGCAAUCUAAAUUCAUACCAUAUUGUAGCAGUUGGCUGGUCCCAAUGAGCCAGAGACACUAUUUGAAAAUGGCACGGCAGUGAUAAGUGACCAGCUUAUCACACCAGGUCUUCCCACAGUGGCCCUCUCCCCUAACUAAUUGUAACAGAAUUGAUGAGGAAUGAUACACCUCCUGGGGUAAAACACAAAAUAAAGAUAAUUAGAACAGUGGCCA